UACGUAGGGGGCAAGCGUUGUCCGGAUUUAUUGGGCGUAAAGAGCGUGUAGGCGGCUAUACAGGUCCGCUGUGAAAACUCGAGGCUCAACCUCGAGACCGUCGUGGAAACCGUAUGGCUAGAGUCCGGAAGAGGAGAGUGGAAUUCCUGGUGUAGCGGUGAAAUGCGCAGAUAUCAGGAAGAACACCCGUGGCGAAGGCGGCUCUCUGGGACGGUACUGACGCUGAGACGCGAAAGCGUGGGGAGCGAACAGG
rnacentral:rRNA from 1 species